UCCUAAAAAAAACAAACCCUCAACAAAUUCAACCCUAAAAAAAGGUUAACAACUUGGGUUGGCUGUUUCGGCGGCCCUCACGGCCCUUCACUUCAUCAAAUCUGGCCCUCUUUGAAAAAAGAUUGGACAGGGUUACAGUCAAAGAGUUCAAGAGAAGCAGAGAAGCGGGUGCUGGAUGUCCGGAGUUUCAUUCUCUCCCGUGUUGCAGAGUGUGUGAGACUACUGGAUCACAUGCUCUGUGUGUUGACAUUCCAUUCUUUGGAAGCGAGGGAACAGAAGGAACUGUGCGCCACUUCCGUCUUCUUUGUUCUGUGUUCUGUUCUGUUGUUCUCUCUCGAAGGGCCCACCCCCCAUGGUGCUUCCGUUGGAAAAGGGGCGUGGUUUAAGCAGCCCGGUUGCCCCACCCCUUCCCAUUGUGCUCUGCCCCUUUCCCUGCAAGGGUUCAGGGAUGUCCUGCGGUUCUCUUGAUGACUUUUAAGACUGGACUUGGGGAAAACCUCACCGGCUCCAGACAUCCCUGUAAGGCAAAGGCAAACAGGGAUGUCCUGCGGUUCUCUUGAUGACUUUUAAGACUGGACUUGGGGAAAACCUCACCGGCUCCAGACAUCCCUGUAAGGCAAAGGCAAACAGAUUCUUUGGUGGUUCAGCUUGGCAAGAUCAGAACGCAGCCCUACAUCUCUGGGGGGCUGUUGGUUUCAUUGGGUCCAGCAUAAAGUGUGAGCUGCUACACAUGCUAUGAAGCACCCAAAAUACAUGUCUUUGCCAUUGAAGCUGUUAUAGUUGACAAAUGGUAUGAAAUAGACCAAUUUAAAAAUGAAUGGAUUACGUGAAUGGAUAGUGCAUGGAAUUACUAAGCAAAAAAGGAGACUGAAGAGGGGCCAACGUCCUCUUUUUAUGAGUGAUGCAAAACGAACAAGACUAAAUGAAAAAUCACCCACAAGGAGUUAAAAGCUCUCAAAAUAUUAGUUGCCUAGAAGAGAUGUUAAAAUAAAUUAUUCCUCUUUCAUGCGAAAAAAUCUGAGGAUUUCUGAUUUGCACCCAGACCUUUUCAUUAUUCUCCAACUGUGCAGAGCAGCAAUAGCUUGAAUAAAUUUUGACUGAGCAAUAUUAUUAUUUAAAGUCUUUUUGCUUAAUGUAAUCAUUUACACAACUGUCACGACUUUAGCCCCUAUAUCCAAAGAACAUUUCCUUUUCACCCCCUGCACUCAUUUUCCUUUGCAUAGCAAGAGUUGUGCUUCAGAUUAAUAUUUUAAAAUAUAAUGAAAUUUCUUGGGUUGGAGGUUUCUUUUUUAAUACAUAUAAAGAGAAGCCGUUAAUUGUUGUGAAGAGCUUAUGAAACUAGGGUGUAUUGAAUCUAGCUCAGAUAUAA